rnacentral:rRNA from 1 species
UGAGUACGAGCGGCUACGGCCGCGAAGUGGAUGAUGUCAAGCUUCCAAGAAAAGCCCUAUACCCGUUAAGGCAUGAUGGCCUGUACCCGAAACCGACACAGGUGGGGUGGUAGAGAAUACCGAGGGGCGCGAGGUAACUCUCUCUAAGGAACUCGGCAAAAUGGCCCCGUAACUUCGGGAGAAGGGGUGCCACCGCGAGGUGGUCGCAGUGAAGAGGCCCAGGCGACUGUUUACCAAAAACACAGGUCUCCGCUAAGUCGCAAGACGAUGUAUGGGGGCUGACGCCUGCCCAGUGCCGGAAGGUUAAGGAAGCUGGUCAGCGCAAGCGAAGCUGGCGACUGAAGCCCCGGUGAACGGCGGCCGUAACAAUAACGGUCCUAAGGUAGCGAAAUUCCUUGUCGGGUAAGUUCCGACCCGCACGAAAGGCGUAACGAUCUGGGCGCUGUCUCGGAGAGAGGCUCGGCGAAAUAGAAUUGUCUGUGAAGAUGCGGACUACGUGCACCCGGACAGAAAAGACCCUAUGAAGCUUUACUGUAGCUUGGUAUUGUGCUCGGGCUCGGAAUGCGCAGGAUAGGUGGGAGGCUUUGAUCCAUUGCUUGCGGGUGAUGGUGAGCCACUGGUGAGAUACCACUCUUUCCGAGCUAGAGUUCUAACAGCAACCCGUUAUCCGGGUGCUGGACAGUAUCAGGUGGGCAGUUUGACUGGGGCGGUCGCCUCCUAAAAGGUAACGGAGGCGCGCAAAGGUCUGCUCAGGCUGGUUGGAAAUCAGCCGACGAGUGUAAAAGCAGAAGCAGGCUUGACUGUGAGACCUACAAGUCGAACAGGGAGGAAACUCGGCUUUAGUGAUCCGACGGUUCUGCGUGGAAGGGCCGUCGCUCAACGGAUAAAAGUUACUCUAAGGAUAACAGGCUGAUCUCCCCCAAGAGUUCACAUCGACGGGGAGGUUUGGCACCUCGAUGUCGGCUCAUCGCAACCUGGGGCUGAAGUCGGUCCCAAGGGUUGGGCUGUUCGCCCAUUAAAGCGGUACGCGAGCUGGGUUCAGAACGUCGUGAGACAGUUCGGUCCAUAUCCGGUGCACGCGCAGGAAUAUUGAGAGGAUUUCUCCCUAGUACGAGAGGACCGGGAGGAACGCACCUCUGGUGUGCCAGUUAUCGUGCCAACGGUAAACGCUGGGUAGCCAUGUGCGGAGUGGAUAACCGCUGAAAGCAUCUAAGUGGGAAGCCCACCUCAAGAUGAGUAUUCCCAUGGCAUAAGCCAGUAAGGUCACGGGAAGAACACCCGUUGAUAGGCUCUACGUGGAAGCGCAGUAAUGUGUGAAGCGGAGGAGUACUAAUAGACCGAGGGCUUGAC